rnacentral:rRNA from 1 species
GAUGAACGCUGGCGGCGUGCCUAACACAUGCAAGUCGAGCGAUUUACUUCGGUAAAGAGCGGCGGACGGGUGAGUAACGCGUGGGUAACCUGCCCUGUACACACGGAUAACAUACCGAAAGGUAUGCUAAUACGAGAUAAUAUGCUUUUAUCGCAUGGUAAGUAUCAAAGCUCUGGCGUUACAGGAUGGACCCGCGUCUGAUUCGCUAGUUGGUAAGGUAACGGCUUACCAAGGCGACGAUCAGUAGCCGACCUGAGAGGGUGAUCGGCCACAUUGGAACUGAGACACGGUCCAAACUCCUACGGGAGGCAGCAGUGGGGAAUAUUGCACAAUGGGCGAAAGCCUGAUGCAGCAACGCCGCGUGAGCGAUGAAGGCCUUCGGGUCGUAAAGCUCUGUCCUCAAGGAAGAUAAUGACGGUACUUGAGGAGGAAGCCCCGGCUAACUACGUGCCAGCCGCCGCCGUAA